UACGUAGGUGGCAAGCGUUGUCCGGAAUUAUUGGGCGUAAAGAGCUCGUAGGCGGUGUGUCGCGUCGGCCGUGAAAACCUGCAGCUUAACUGUGGGCUUGCGGUCGAUACGGGCAUCACUGGAGUUCGGCAGGGGAGACUGGAAUUCCUGGUGUAGCGGUGAGAUGCGCAGAUAUCAGGAGGAACACCGGUGGCGAAGGCGGGUCUCUGGGCCGAUACUGACGCUGAGGAGCGAAAGCGUGGGGAGCGAACAGG
rnacentral:rRNA from 1 species